rnacentral:lncRNA from 1 species
AGAAUAACAGCGUGCAAUGAAUGAAUAGGAAGAUUGAUCUUAGCUGCACACACAAAAAUAUUUGUUGGAAGAACUUUUUGCAGGGUAGCGGAUUUUCUUGCUUAAAAUUUAAUGAGAGUGAACAAAAUCUAGAAACAAAAAGUACAUCACUAAGUUGCGUGUUUCCAUGGAGCAGCCGCUGCUUCCCUUUGAGCCACCAUAGCCACUGUUUACACAUGUGCAGGUUGCCUCUGUCAACAACUCUUAUUAUCCGCACCUUCCUAGUUCUGAAAUUAAAGGAAUGGAGCACAUAGUUUAAAGAUUUAAGAGAAUAGUAAACAACUGCAGGUUUC